AAACUUCGACCGAUUAAUUUUGAACAAUUUCAUUCGUUGCACCGUGCUAAUGGCGCAAAAAAAUCAUUAUACGGAUGUAUAUUGCCUGAUUUAGCAUUAAUUUUACUACAACUGGUUAAAAAUUAAGCAAAGAUUGCUUAAACAUUGCUUAAAAAUAGUUAUAAAUUCCAAUUCCUGUGAAUAACGCACGAAUUUCGAAGUGCAGUUCCGGUAAAAAGGGCAACCUGUUGCCCCCGUGCUGCCCCCGCACUGUUUGGGCAACAGGGGCAGUUGCCCCCGCUGCCCC